rnacentral:rRNA from 1 species
UACGUAGGGUGCGAGCGUUAAUCGGAAUUACUGGGCGUAAAGCGUGCGCAGGCGGUUCGCUGUGUCCGAUGUGAAAGCCCCGGGCUUAACCUGGGAAUGGCAUUGGAAACUGGCGGGCUUGAGUGUGGCAGAGGGGGGUGGAAUUCCGCGUGUAGCAGUGAAAUGCGUAGAGAUGCGGAGGAACACCGAUGGCGAAGGCAGCUCGCUGGGACGGUACUGACGCUGAGGCGCGAAAGCGUGGGGAGCGAACAGG